UUUCCGUAGGUGAACCUGCGGAGGGAUCAUUACAGAGUUCAUGCCCUACCGGGUAGAUCUCCCACCCUAUGUUAUUAUUACUUUGUUGCUUUGGCGGGCCGUUAGGCCCCGGCCCGACUACCGGCCCCGGCUGGUAAGCGCCCGCCAGAGGACCCAAAACCCUGAAUAUUAGUGUCGUCUGAGUACUAUAUAAUAGUUAAAACUUUCAACAACGGAUCUCUUGGUUCUG
rnacentral:misc_RNA from 1 species